CCUACGGGAGGCAGCAGUAAGGAAUCUUGCGCAAUGGGCGAAAGCCUGACGCAGCGACGCCGCGUGGGCGAUGAAGGCCUUCGGGUUGUAAAGCCCUUUUCUGGGGGACGAGGAGGGACGGUACCCCAGGAAUAAGUCACGGCUAACUACGUGCCAGCAGCCGCGGUAAAACGUAGGUGGCAAGCGUUAUCCGGAAUCACUGGGCGUAAAGGGCGUCUAGGCGGACGGGUAAGUCGUGCGUGAAAGCUUCCGGCUCAACUGGGAGAGGUCGUUUCAGACUGCCCGGCUUGAGGGUCGGAGAGGGACGUGGAAUUCCCGGUGUAGGGGUGAAAUGCGUAGAUAUCGGGAGGAACACCAGUGGCGAGGGCGGCUCUCUGGGGUCAACCUGACGCUGAGGUGCGAAAGCGGGGGGAGCGAACCGGAUUAGAUCCCCGUGUAGU
rnacentral:rRNA from 1 species